rnacentral:rRNA from 1 species
UACGAAGGGGGCUAGCGUUGCUCGGAAUCAUUGGGCGUAAAGGGCGCGUAGGCGGCUCGGUUGGUCAGGCGUGAAAUCCCCGGGCUCAACCCAGGGACUGCGCUUGAUACGGCCGUGCUGGAGGAUGGAAGAGGGCCGCGGAAUUCCCAGUGUAGAGGUGAAAUUCGUAGAUAUUGGGAAGAACACCGGUGGCGAAGGCGGCGGCCUGGUCCAUUUCUGACGCUGAGGCGCGACAGCGUGGGGAGCAAACAGG